CUACGGGUCGCUCCAGUAGGGAAUAUUGCACAAUGGAGGAAACUCUGAUGCAGCAACGCCGCGUGGAGGAUGACGCAUUUCGGUGUGUAAACUCCUUUUAUAUAGAAAGAUUAUGACGGUACUAUAUGAAUAAGCACCGGCUAACUCCGUGCCAGCAGCCGCGGUAAUACGGGGGGUGCAAGCGUUACUCGGAAUCACUGGGCGUAAAGGGAGCGCAGGCGGGUUAAUAAGUGUCUUGUGAAAGCCUGUGGCUUAACCAUAGAAUUGCAAGACAAACUGUUAGCCUAGAGUUCAGAAGAAGUAACUGGAAUUGGUGGUGUAGGGGUAAAAUCCGUAGAGAUCACCAGGAAUGCCAACGGCGAAAGCAAGUUACUGGGAUGAUACUGACGCUGAGGCUCGAAAGCGUGGGGAGCAAACAGGAUUAGAUACCCUAGUAGUC
rnacentral:rRNA from 1 species